UACGUAGGGUGCGAGCGUUAAUCGGAAUUACUGGGCGUAAAGUGUGCGCAGGCGGCCGCGCAAGUCGAGUGUGAAAGCCCCGAGCUUAACUUGGGAAUUGCGCUCGAAACUACGUGGCUGGAGUGUGGCAGAGGAAGGUGGAAUUCCAGGUGUAGCGGUGAAAUGCGUAGAGAUCUGGAGGAACACCGAUGGCGAAGGCAGCCUUCUGGGCCAACACUGACGCUCAUGCACGAAAGCGUGGGGAGCAAACAGG
rnacentral:rRNA from 1 species